CCCUUGUUCUUCAUCGUCAUUAACGUCAUCAACAGAAUUAGCUUCUCUGUGCUCUUCAAAUAUGGUAAAAUCCCGUGCUUCUAUAGAGAUUCAUGGUAACAACCCAACUGGGUUUCAAGGAUGGAAGACGGAGACUGAUAAGAUGACUUAAGUUCAAAGC